rnacentral:rRNA from 1 species
GAUGAACGCUGGCGGCGUGCCUAAUACAUGCAAGUCGAGCGAAUGGAUUAAGAGCUUGCUCUUAUGAAGUUAGCGGCGGACAGGUGAGUAACACGUGGGUAACCUGCCCAUAAGACUGGGAUAACUCCGGGAAACCGGGGCUAAUACCGGAUAACAUUUUGAACCGCAUGGUUCGAAAUUGAAAGGCGGCUUCGGCUGUCACUUAUGGAUGGACCCGCGUCGCAUUAGCUAGUUGGUGAGGUAACGGCUCACCAAGGCCACGAUGCGUAGCCGACCUGAGAGGGUGCUCGGCCACACUGGGACUGAGACACGGACCAGACUCCUACGGGAGGCAGCAGUAGGGAAUCCUCCGCAAUGGACGAAAGUCUGACGGAGCAACGCCGCGUGAGUGAUGAAGGCUUUCGGGUCGUAAAACUCUGUUGUUAGGGAAGAACAAGUGCUAGUUGAAUAAGCUGGCACCUUGACGGUACCUAACCAGAAAGCCACGGCUAACUACGUGCCAGCCGCCGCCGUAA